CCUACGUGAGGCUGCAGUGGGGAAUAUUGGGCAAUGGGCGCAAGCCUGACCCAGCAACGCCGCGUGAAGGAAGAAGGCUUUCGGGUUGUAAACUUCUUUUAUGAGGGACGAAACAAAUGACGGUACCUCAUGAAUAAGCCACGGCUAACUACGUGCCAGCAGCCGCGGUAAGCCGUAGGUGGCAAGCGUUAUCCGGAUUUACUGGGUGUAAAGGGCGUGUAGGGGGGACGGCAAGUCAGAUGUGAAAAUUAGGGGCUCAACCCAUAACCUGCAUUUGAAACUGGAGUUCUUGAGUGAUGGAGAGGCAGGCGGAAUGCGGGGUGUAGCGGUGAAAUGCGUAGAUAUAAGGAAGAACUCCGAUGGCGAAGGCAGCCUGCUGGACAUCAACUGACGCUGAUGCGCGAAAGCGUGGGGAGCAAACAGGAUUAGAUACCCCUGUAGUC
rnacentral:rRNA from 1 species